rnacentral:tRNA from 1 species
GCCUUCUUAGUACAAAUUAGUAGUACCGUUGGUUUCCACCCAGCGAGUCCUGGUUCGAAUCCGGGAGAAGGCA